rnacentral:rRNA from 1 species
CGAAGAUACCAGCUGGCUGCAACUGUUUAAUAAAAACACAGCACUGUGCAAACACGAAAGUGGACGUAUACGGUGUGACGCCUGCCCGGUGCUGGAAGGUUAAUUGAUGGGGUCAGCCGCAAGGCGAAGCUCUUGAUCGAAGCCCCAGUAAACGGCGGCCGUAACUAUAACGGUCCUAAGGUAGCGAAAUUCCUUGUCGGGUAAGUUCCGACCUGCACGAAUGGCGUAAUGAUGGCCAGGCUGUCUCCACCCGAGACUCAGUGAAAUUGAACUCGCUGUGAAGAUGCAGUGUACCCGCGGCAAGACGGAAAGACCCCGUGAACCUUUACUAUAGCUUGACACUGAACAUUGAGCCUUGAUGUGUAGGAUAGGUGGGAGGCUUUGAAGCGUGGACGCCAGUCUGCGUGGAGCCAUCCUUGAAAUACCACCCUUUAAUGUUUGAUGUUCUAACUCGGCCCCAUAAUCUGGGGUGAGGACAGUGUCUGGUGGGUAGUUUGACUGGGGCGGUCUCCUCCCAAAGAGUAACGGAGGAGCACGAAGGUUAGCUAAUCACGGUCGGACAUCGUGAGGUUAGUGCAAAGGCAUAAGCUAGCUUGACUGCGAGAGUGACGGCUCGAGCAGGUACGAAAGUAGGUCUUAGUGAUCCGGUGGUUCUGAAUGGAAGGGCCAUCGCUCAACGGAUAAAAGGUACUCCGGGGAUAACAGGCUGAUACCGCCCAAGAGUUCAUAUCGACGGCGGUGUUUGGCACCUCGAUGUCGGCUCAUCACAUCCUGGGGCUGAAGUAGGUCCCAAGGGUAUGGCUGUUCGCCAUUUAAAGUGGUACGCGAGCUGGGUUUAGAACGUCGUGAGACAGUUCGGUCCCUAUCUGCCGUGGGCGUUGGAAGAUUGAGAGGGGUUGCUCCUAGUACGAGAGGACCGGAGUGAACGCACCACUGGUGUUCGGGUUGUCAUGCCAAUGGCAUUGCCCGGUAGCUAAGUGCGGAAAAGAUAAGCGCUGAAAGCAUCUAAGCGCGAAACUUGCCUCAAGAUGAGUCUUCCCUGGGCCUUUAAGGCCCCUGAAGGAACGUUUAAGACUAAGACGUUGAUAGGCUGGGUGUGUAAGUGCAGCGAUGCAUUGAGCUAACCAGUACUAAUGAUCCGUGAGGCUUAACC